rnacentral:lncRNA from 1 species
UCUUGUAGCCUGAAUACGUGCGUGGGGAUGUGUUUCGAGUGAUGGUAUGAUGCAAACGACUGAGAGAGCCACAUGGGACAGCCAGGCCUGGGUUUGCUGCCGCUUCUGUCAGAAGCGCUCGGAGGUGCCGCAGGCGCGAAAGCCCGGGCAGCGACRCUGCGUCCGGCCCUGCUCCCGCCGGCUCGGGCUGUGCCGGAUGCCCCGGGUGGAUCCAGCCCUGGGGUAKAUCUGUCUGCCUCGGUUUCCAGUCCUAAACGAGCAGCAGUCAAGGAAUUUUAAGUGUGCAGAUUGA